UUUAGAGUCGGGAAAACGACUUAAAAUACUUCCUGUGGCAUUCAACAUAUAUGUAAACUAUAUUUAAGUCUCUUUACCUCUUUGAGUCUUGGUUUCCCUAAUCAGAGAUGAUUUCAAUAUAUUCUAUCUUCCUCACCAAAAGUUACUUCAUUAAUACUUCAUUUAAUCAAGUGAGAUAGUAUGGAGUUAACUUCUUUUUAGCUCUUUUUCCCUGAAACACAUUCCAUUCUCAGAAUAUGGAAUAUUCUCUAAGAUGAAUAUAAGCUCUUUGUUUUCUGGAACAUAGGAUAUUGGUAAGUACAUAUGUUCAAAGAAGUUCUCUAUAUCUUAGACAUGAAAAAUGGUAAAGUAUGUGUGAAAGUAAAGGUGAAGGUAAAGACCUUAACAAGGAAAGAAUAAAGAAACUGAAAUGUCAACAAAGUUUACUGCUUCCAAAAUGAUCCAAAUGAUUCAAAAAGUCAUGUUGAAUACAUGUGGGAAGGAUGGCUACGGAUACGGAGCCCUGCACUGUCCUUGGCCACAAAUUUUCGAACCUAAGAGAAGUAAAGAUAGACAGUAAGGGAGAAGAACUUGCAACAAAGCUCCUGAAAGUAAGAAGAAACAAACUGAAUGAAUGUUGAAAAAGCUCCAUUGGUGAGAAAAUACCUCAAAAAUGUUUGUUGUUGGUUCUCAUUAUAAUCUGUACCUGGUUUCUGGUUUGUUUUGAAAUAAUAAAAAAGUACCUUUUGAAAA